rnacentral:tRNA from 1 species
GGACAUAUGGCCGAGUGGUCUAAGGCGCUGUGUUUAGGUUGUUUCGACAACGCAAUCCGCAGUCUUCGGGCGUGGGUUCAAAUCCCACUGUGUUCA